rnacentral:rRNA from 1 species
GACGAACGCUGGCGGCGUGCCUAAUACAUGCAAGUAGAACGCAGUUGCGAACGGGUGAGUAACGCGUAGGUACCUGCCUCAUAGCGGGGGAUAACUAUUGGAAACGAUAGCUAAUACCGCAUACUGUGAGAUGGACCUGCGUUGUAUUAGCUAGUUGGUGGGGUAAAGGCUCCACAAGGCGACGAUACAUAGCCGACCUGAGAGGGGUAUCGGCCAAAAUGGGACUGGGACACGGGCCAGGCUCCUACGGGAGGCAGCAGUAGGGAAUCUUCGGCAAUUGACGGAAGUCUGACCGCGCAACGCCGCGGGAGUGAAGAAGGUUUUCGGAUCGGAAAGCUCUGUUGUUAGAGAAGCGGUAUCUAACCAGAAAGGGACGGCUAACUACGUGCCAGCAGCCGCGGUAAUAC